rnacentral:lncRNA from 1 species
AUGAAAGUGAAGGCGGGUAAUGUAAAGGCCAAUAAAAUACCUCAAGGAUUAAUCUUGUCUUCAAGAGAUUGUGAUGUUCAUAAUUUAUGUGCUGGUAUAUCAACAACUGUGAAAAACAAAUCGUUUCAUAAUUUAUUUGAAAACAUUUCCAACCUCUGGUUUGCAUGGGUUUAAUGUCUUGAAGAAGCCCUUCACCAGGACUGUUCCAGCACAGAAGGAAUAUCUCCAGUGGUAUGCAGAAAGCUCUUCAGGUACACAAGGAAGGGAAGACAGUGCCUUGGCAAGCAUUUCAAGAUUUCUACGUUGAAACCUAGUAAUAAAACAUUAAAGUAGAAAUGAUUAGAAACACUGGGGAUUUAGUAUCAAAUUUUCUCAAUUGAGGCAUCUCAAGUACACUAAUUGAAAACGCCUUCCUACCCUUUACGGUUACUGUUUCUUUUCUAUUCAAAUGAUGUAUGAGUUGGUCUAAAGCUGUUGAAACUUCACUUUCUGUAGUUUGAUGCUAAUUCAAGAAAAGAUGCAUCCUUCAUAAGUAAUUGUUGUGUAGAAGUUCAUGUUGCUUUGUUAACUUGGAUAAUUUGUGUAUUUUUCAUCUUUCUUUUUUAAAAAAAUAUAUAUUUCAAAAAUGCAGAUCAUGUUUUGAAUGGUGAUUGAAAAUUCAUACAGAUUUUUAAAAGAACACAAACAAACAAAAAACUUAGAUAAUAUUUCAGUUAUGCUGGGUAUCACCCCUUUCUUCUGAUCUUUGUCCAAGUCAGAACAUUGGCAAUGCUAGGAAAUGGAAAUUUUGUUAAAGUCUUUGUGAUUGGUUAAAUGGUGUAAUUUUAUAUCCUGGAUGACGCUGUGUCAUUGUCUGCUGAUGUGUAUUUUUUGUAGAGAACGAAGAGGAAAGGAUCAGAAGGGAGACUAGAAGAGAUUAUGCAGAUAUCCGCAGUCAAGAUGGCUGAGUAUCACUUGAAUGCUUAGGAUGUAUUGGACCCCUGGUAGAAUAUGAAAUUAAAGGGGGAUGGGUCUUAAAAAGAUCAUCUCAUAAAGUGGUCGAAUUUGAAAAAACAAAAUAUAUUACCCCUAUCCCCCCACACACACACAAAAAAAAAAGAAAAGAAAAAAGAGAGAAUUUGUUUUGUUCUGCUUCUAUAGCACCAAAUGGGUGCUAUACAUGCUUACAGAAAUUUAUUCUUCAAAACAUUUUAGAGUAGCAUUCCACCUUUCUCAAUAUAAUUUAAUUAUUGAACUUGUAUUUUAAAAAAUGUUUAUGAGAAUAGAAAGGGUGCUUAAGUUUGCAGAUGAUGUAGUUACAGUACAUAUUUGGCAUUUCCCCCCUCCUUUUUAAUUUUUUUUUAUUGCAACCUAGAAACAUUUUGUUGGUUUAUCUAUGUAUUAUAAUUAAAAUCAAGCUGUCUUAUGUCUCUUAUUUACAGUUUUAACUAUAGAAAAUAUAUACCAAUAAAAUAAAUACCAAGAAAAAAAAAAACC